rnacentral:rRNA from 1 species
UGGGGAAUAUUGCACAAUGGGCGGAAGCCUGAUGCAGCAACGCCGCGUGCGGGAUGAAGGCCUUCGGGUUGUAAACCGCUUUCAGUCGGGACGAAGUUGACGGUACCGACAGAAGAAGCACCGGCUAACUACGUGCCAGCAGCCGCGGUGAUACGUAGGGUGCGAGCGUUGUCCGGAUUUAUUGGGCGUAAAGAGCUCGUAGGUGGUUUGUUGCGUCGGAAGUGAAAACUUGGGGCUUAACCCUAAGCUUGCUUUCGAUACGGGCGGACUUGAGGGAGGUAGGGGAGAACGGAAUUCCUGGUGGAGCGGUGGAAUGCGCAGAUAUCAGGAGGAACACCGGUGGCGAAGGCGGUUCUCUGGACCUUUCCUGACGCUGAGGAGCGAAAGCGUGGGGAGCAAACAG